rnacentral:rRNA from 1 species
AGAGUUUGAUCAUGGCUCAGGACGAACGCUGGCGGCGUGCCUAAGAUAUGCAAGUCGAGCGACGAAUCUCGGUCAACCGAAGCUUGCUUUGGACGACUGGGUUGAAAGCGGCAAACGGGUGAGUAACGCGUAGAUAACCUACCUCAUACAUGGGAACAGCUCCGUGAAAGCGGAAUUAAUGCCCAAUAGCCUGGUGUGGUGAAAUUCCUAUCCAGUAAAGGGCCUACUUUACUACGGUUUUGUAGGUUGGUAUGAGAGGGGUCUGCGUCCUAUCAGCUUGUUGGUAAGGUAAUGGCUUACCAAGGCUAAGACGGGUAGGGGGCGUGAGAGCGCGGUCCCCCACAGUGGCACUGAAACACGGGCCACACUCCUACGGGAGGCAGCAAUUAGGAAUCUUUCGCAAUGGGGGAAACCCUGACGAAGCGACGCCGCGUGAAGGAAGACGGCCUACGGGUUGUAAACUUCUUUUAUUAGGGAGCAGGAAGGAUAGUACCUAAUGAAUAAGCACCUGCUAACUGCGUGCCAGAAGCCUCGGUGAUGCGUAGGGUGCAAGCGUUGUCCGGAUUUAUUGGGCGUAAAGUGACUGUAGGCGGUCAAGGAAAUUUUGUUUCAAAGACUCAGGCUUAACUUGAGGAAGGGACAAAAAACCACUGACU